rnacentral:rRNA from 1 species
AUUGAACGCUGGCGGCAGGCCUAACACCUGCAAGUCGAGCGGAGCGGCGGACGGGUGAGUAAUUCCUAGGACUCUGCCAGGUUGUGGGGGAUAACGUCAGGAAACGUGCGCUAAUACCGCAUACGCUUAGAUGAGCCUAGGUAGGAUGAGCUAGUUGGGGGGGUAAUGGCAUACCAAGGCGACUAUCCGUAACUGGUCUGAGAGGAUGAUCAGUCAAACUGGAAAUGUGACACGGUCCAGACUCCUACGGUAGGCAGCAGUGGGUAAUAUUGGACAAUGGGCGAAAGCCUGAUCAAGCCAUGCCGCGUGUGUGAAGAAGGUCUUCGGAUUGUAAAGCACUUUAAGUUGGGAGGCGUUACCAACAGAAUAAGCACCGGCUAACUUCGUGCCAGCAGCCGCGGUAAGAC